GGUGGCUCAGUGGUAGAGUGCUUGUCUUGCAUGCAUGAGGUCCCGGGUUCGAUUCCUUAGCACCA
rnacentral:tRNA from 1 species